rnacentral:pre_miRNA from 1 species
AGCCCUCUGUAUCCGUGCAGAGAUUCCGUCAGAGAUCAACCCAUUGGCAUGGGCUGAUGGUACUUCCCAAAUAAGUGAAGCG